UGGGGAAUAUUUCACAAUGGAGGAAACUCUGAUGCAGCGACGCCGCGUGAGUGAAGAAGGUCUUCGGAUCGUAAAACUCUGUCCUUGGUGACGAAAAAAAUGACGGUAGCCAAGGAGGAAGCCCCGGCUAACUACGUGCCAGCAGCCGCGGUAAUACGUAGGGGGCGAGCGUUGUCCGGAUUUACUGGGCGUAAAGGGUGAGUAGGCGGUAAUAUGUGUCAGAUGUAAAAGGCUAUGGCUUAACCAUAGUUAGCAUUUGAAACUGUAUUACUUGAGUGCAGGAGAGGUAAGUGGAAUUCCUAGUGUAGCGGUGAAAUGCGUAGAUAUUAGGAGGAACACCAGUGGCGAAGGCGACUUACUGGACUGUAACUGACGCUGAGUCACGAAAGCGUGGGUAGCAAACA
rnacentral:rRNA from 1 species